rnacentral:rRNA from 1 species
CCUACGGGAGGCUGCAGUGGGGAAUAUUGGACAAUGGGGGGAACCCUGAUCCAGCCAUGCCGCGUGUGUGAAGAAGGCCCUCGGGUUGUAAAGCACUUUCAGUGAGGAAGAACGCCUGGUGGUUAAUACCCAUCAGGAAAGACAUCACUCACAGAAGAAGCACCGGCUAACUCCGUGCCAGCAGCCGCGGUAAUACGGAGGGUGCGAGCGUUAAUCGGAAUUACUGGGCGUAAAGCGCGCGUAGGUGGCUUGAUAAGCCGGUUGUGAAAGCCCCGGGCUCAACCUGGGAACGGCAUCCGGAACUGUCAAGCUAGAGUGCAGGAGAGGAAGGUAGAAUUCCCGGUGUAGCGGUGAAAUGCGUAGAGAUCGGGAGGAAUACCAGUGGCGAAGGCGGCCUUCUGGACUGACACUGACACUGAGGUGCGAAAGCGUGGGUAGCAAACAGGACUAGAUACCCGUGUAGUC